UACGUAGGGUCCGAGCGUUGUCCGGAAUUAUUUGGGCGUAAAAGAGCUCGUAGGCGGUUUUGUCGCGUCUGCCGUGAAAGUCCGGGGCUCAACUCCGGAUCUGCGGUGGGUACGGGGCAGACUAGAGUGAUGUAGGGGGAGACUGGAAUUCCUGGUGUAGCGGUGAAAAUGCGCAGAUAUCAGGAGGAACACCGGUGGCGAAGGCGGGUCUCUGGGCCA
rnacentral:rRNA from 1 species